GCACUACGGUGCUGAAGCGACAAAUGCCCUGCUUCCAGGAAAAGCCUCUAAGCAUCAGGUAACAUCAAAUCGUACCCCAAACCGACACAGGUGGUCAGGUAGAGAAUACCAAGGCGCUUGAGAGAACUCGGGUGAAGGAACUAGGCAAAAUGGUGCCGUAACUUCGGGAGAAGGCACGCUGAUAUGUAGGUGAAGCGACUUGCUCGUGGAGCUGAAAUCAGUCGAAGAUACCAGCUGGCUGCAACUGUUUAUUAAAAACACAGCACUGUGCAAACACGAAAGUGGACGUAUACGGUGUGACGCCUGCCCGGUGCCGGAAGGUUAAUUGAUGGGGUUAGCGGUAACGCGAAGCUCUUGAUCGAAGCCCCGGUAAACGGCGGCCGUAACUAUAACGGUCCUAAGGUAGCGAAAUUCCUUGUCGGGUAAGUUCCGACCUGCACGAAUGGCGUAAUGAUGGCCAGGCUGUCUCCACCCGAGACUCAGUGAAAUUGAACUCGCUGUGAAGAUGCAGUGUACCCGCGGCAAGACGGAAAGACCCCGUGAACCUUUACUAUAGCUUGACACUGAACAUUGAGCCUUGAUGUGUAGGAUAGGUGGGAGGCUUUGAAGUGUGGACGCCAGUCUGCAUGGAGCCGACCUUGAAAUACCACCCUUUAAUGUUUGAUGUUCUAACGUUGGCCCGUAAUCCGGGUUGCGGACAGUGUCUGGUGGGUAGUUUGACUGGGGCGGUCUCCUCCUAAAGAGUAACGGAGGAGCACGAAGGUUGGCUAAUCCUGGUCGGACAUCAGGAGGUUAGUGCAAUGGCAUAAGCCAGCUUGACUGCGAGCGUGACGGCGCGAGCAGGUGCGAAAGCAGGUCAUAGUGAUCCGGUGGUUCUGAAUGGAAGGGCCAUCGCUCAACGGAUAAAAGGUACUCCGGGGAUAACAGGCUGAUACCGCCCAAGAGUUCAUAUCGACGGCGGUGUUUGGCACCUCGAUGUCGGCUCAUCACAUCCUGGGGCUGAAGUAGGUCCCAAGGGUAUGGCUGUUCGCCAUUUAAAGUGGUACGCGAGCUGGGUUUAGAACGUCGUGAGACAGUUCGGUCCCUAUCUGCCGUGGGCGCUGGAGAACUGAGGGGGGCUGCUCCUAGUACGAGAGGACCGGAGUGGACGCAUCACUGGUGUUCGGGUUGUCAUGCCAAUGGCACUGCCCGGUAGCUAAAUGCGGAAGAGAUAAGUGCUGAAAGCAUCUAAGCACGAAACUUGCCCCGAGAUGAGUUCUCCCUGAGACUUAGAGUCUCCUGAAGGAACGUUGAAGACGACGACGUUGAUAGGCCGGGUGUGUAAGCGCAGCGAUGCGUUGAGCUAACCGGUACUAAUGAACCGUGAGGCUUAACCUUACAACGCCGAAG
rnacentral:rRNA from 1 species